CUGAAAGGAGUGAUGUUUACGUUUGGCAGUGAUGACAGAUGAGUAAUUCAACAAAAUGUCUGUAUUUAACAUGAUUGAAGGACUUGUUAUUUAACGUGGCUGUUCAUCAAAGUCUUGAGUAUCCACCUAAUGCUUAGAAUCAUGCCUUAGUUCUGUGGUGACUGGUUGUGGGCUGUUAGAAGGAAGUGGAAACUGAUGUGGACACCGGGCACUUGCUCCUACUCAGAGCAGCAAUGCAUGCCGUUGACAGGACGUGCUGGCCGGCGGCAGCUUCAUCGUUUCUACGUUUGGCUUCGCCAGUUCUUGUACAAUCAAACUAUCCCCACCUUACCUCAAGAACUGGACUUGCGAGGGCGCUCCAGCUCAUGCCGGUCAACUUUGUGUGCUGAGUGCAUCAUCUAAGAUGGAAUGACACUAGGAGAACUGCCUACCAGUCAACGAGCACCGCUUCAACAUGGAUGCUUAGUUUCAUCUCUGAGUUGUGACAUUUAAAGUGUGCUGUUGUUCGUGGGGAAGGUCAAUCAAGGGUCAUGCUACAGUGUGAACAUCUUCAUUACAUCUUAAACAUGGUCAGACAUCCAAUUCUUAAAUGGACUGUGAUGUUUGAUUCCAACGUUGACAUCUGCUUGUGAUUCCUACAUCGGGCAGCUACGUUUUGAUUCCUACAUGGACAGCAACAUGGGGUUUCUUACAUGGACAUCAACAUCUGAUUCCUACAUGGACAGCAUUGUCAGAUUCCUUUAUGGACAGUAACGCCUGAUUCCUACAUGGACAAUAAGAUUGUGUAACUCUGAUUUGUGCAAAUUUUGUAGUAAAGAAAAUCUUAGUCGGAAAAAAAAAAGCAAUAUUUGGGAUUAAAGGCUGUGUCACACUGGGGAAUUUACAGGCAACCAGUUCCAGGCAAUCUUUAAAAAGAAAAUUCAUUCGCAUUUCAGUUCAGGACUAUUGUUUCCUAGGGGAUUGUGAUUUACAAGAAAAAUGUAUAUUCAUGCUGCCAAAGUGUUCCUUGUGCAUGGUUGCCUCCAAGUUGCCUCCAAGGCACUGGACACAUUUGGCCAUUUACUCUUGGAGAAAACCUUGGUAUUUCCCAAAAUAUGCAUUAAAUAACAAACCUGUGAAAAUUUUUACUCAAUUGGUUAUCAAAGCUGCACGAAGUU